CGGCCAGAUUGGUCUCUGGGUCAUCUAGGAGAGACCAUAUCACUCCUAUCUUAAAACAUCUACUCUGGCUGCUGGAAAGUUUCCAGGCAGAGUACAAGAUUUCAGUAAAAUCCUGAGGUGAGAAGCCAGAAUUAGGUUGAGGGGAGUAGUGUUGUGCACAAAACUACCUGGUUCGAUCUGAGUUCGAACCACACCAGGAAUGCACCAGCACUACAGAAAAGGGUGAGGACUUCUUGAUGAUGAAGAAGCUGAUGCAUAUUGGAUUCCUGGUGCAAAAUAAAAGGAUAAAUGCAGGAGGAAAAUCUAGUACUUUUACUGUGUACUGGAGCACAGCACUAGUUUGAGCAGAAAGGAACACUUUUUUAAAGUAUUCAAAGAGCGGAGAAAAUGUGCAGCCAGCAGAGUAUGAGGGUAUGCAUGCCAGUUCUGUUAUCAACAGUCCAAAAUUAUCUUUUCUUGCUGGGAGAGCCCAAGGCAUAGUGGGACUGUGGAAAAAAUAGCUAUAAAGUCGGAUUGGGGGAAUCUGCUCAUCCCUAGUAAAUACCUGGCUUAUUCAGAAAGCUGUCACUGCAGGCUGAUUGGCUCUGAUUUUUAAAGGGCUGCAUUACUGUAUUUUAAAUUAUGAAUUUUUUAUCAGACUUUUAUCGCAGCUGCUGGUGUUGGUGUUGGUGGUGUGUAUGUGUUUACUGCAGCAUUAUUGCAAUUUGUUUCAUAUGCUUUUAUAUUUGUUUGUGUACUGCUUUGAGUGCCAUAUGAAUGGUACCCUUCCUUGGUCAACAAAGGUAGAAAAGGAACAUAUGGUUAUAUAUCCAUGGGAAAUUUGCAUUGUUAAACCUCAAGAAUCACAGUGCACAUGAUGUUAAAUGCAUUUCCUUAAAAAAAAAAAAAAAAAAGGCUGAAUG